GAUGAACGCUGGCGGCGUGCCUAAUACAUGCAAGUCGAGCGAAUGGAUUAAGAGCUUGCUCUUAUGAAGUUAGCGGCGGACGGGUGAGUAACACGUGGGUAACCUGCCCAUAAGACUGGGAUAACUCCGGGAAACCGGGGCUAAUACCGGAUAACAUUUUGAACCGCAUGGUUCGAAAUUGAAAGGCGGCUUCGGCUGUCACUUAUGGAUGGACCCGCGUCGCAUGAGCUAGUUGGUGAGGUAACGGCUCACCAAGGCAACGAUGCGUAGCCGACCUGAGACGGUGAUCGGCCACACUGGGACUGAGACACGGCCCAGACUCCUACGGGAGGCAGCAGUAGGGAAUCUUCCGCAAUGGACGAAAGUCUGACGGAGCAACGCCGCGUGAGUGAUGAAGGCUUUCGGGUCGUAAAACUCUGUUGUUAGGGAAGAACAAGUGCUAGUUGAAUAAGCUGGCACCUUGACGGUACUUAACCAGAAAGCCACGGCUAACUACGUGCCAGCAGCCGCGGUAA
rnacentral:rRNA from 1 species